CAUCUCUGCCCUACCUCUCAGCCGGCCCAGCACUCUGCGGGUCUGGGAAAGAGGUGUCCUGUGUCCUGCUCCCUGGGCUCAGUGCCAGGAAGGGAGUAGCGGGGGAGCCCCCGGGGCAUCCGGCUUGUUGGAGAGGCAGGGCAGGCCACAGAGGGUGCCCCACUCAGUCAGAAGCAAGGGGGAGGUUGCUGGGCCUGAAGAAGCUGAGCGUGAAGCCCUGGAGGAAUCCCAUGCAGACCUGACCCCACUCCCAGCACCUUGGUCCACGGAGUCUCCACCGUGAACCUGGCACGAUCCUGGUGUUAUUUGUGUGUUCGAUGGGGAUAAUAAAUGUGGAAGGGGUGCAGACAUGAGCUUCCUCUGGGAGACUGGCCAUUCCCUCUGUGACGCCCUGGCAAUCCCGCCAGCGCAGGACCUGGAUCAGAUGUCCUACUAAAUUCUACUCUGACCUUCCUCCUCAUUGGCAGUAAUAGCAGUUGGCAUUCACUGAGUGCACAUAUGAGUGAGCAUUGCUCCAUUAAGGUGCAAAGACCUUGCAGACCUAACAGAAGUUUAAGGAGAGCCAGUGCAUUGGAGGUGGCAGUCAAGUGCAAAGACUCGGACUGCGGACUCUGAG